GACGAACGCUGGCGGCGUGCUUAACACAUGCAAGUCGAACGGUAAGGCCCUUCGGGUACGACGAGUGGCGAACGGGUGAGUAACACGUGGUGAUCUGCCCUGCACUUCGGGAUAAGCCUGGGAAACUGGGUCUAAUACCGGAUAGGACUCCUGGCUUCAUGGUUGGGGUGUAAAGCUUUUGCGGUGUGGGAUGGGCCCGCGGCCUAUCAGCUUGUUGGUGGGGUAAUGGCCUACCAAGGCGACGACGGGUAGCCGGCCUGAGAGGGUGACCGGCCACACUGGGACUGAGAUACGGCCCAGACUCCUACGGGAGGCAGCAGUGGGGAAUAUUGCACAAUGGGCGCAAGCCUGAUGCAGCGACGCCGCGUGAGGGAUGACGGCC
rnacentral:rRNA from 1 species